rnacentral:lncRNA from 1 species
CCCGAGCUUCGGCUCUCCCAGUUCCCCAACCCACCCCUUCCCCUCCCCGACAAGCCCCGCUAGAGCCCAGUGGAGACCCCCUCGAUCCUCGACCCCACCCUAAACCCCCAGAAGCUGUCUUUCUCCUCCCCAGUCCCCUAGCUUGGGGUCCAGACAGCCCAGUGGACCCAGGCGCCUGAGCAGGAGGGUAACCCAGGCCACCCGGCCCCUUCGGCCCUCUCGGCCCCACCCCCUGCAGCCGGAGCCGCGCCCCCUCCACCACAGAGCCGCGAGAAGAGGACAGAGGAGACUGAGCAAAGGGGGGUGGGCUCCAGGCGACCCCUAGCCCAAUUCUGCCCCUCCAUCCCAAGGGGCAGAGAAAUUGUCUUUCUUUGCUGACUCCUACGAGGAAAAAAAAAAAAAAA